ensembl:lncRNA
GGGAGGGAGUGAGGUUGGGUGGGGGAGGGAUUGCGUCCGUCAUUCAUGUUCCAGCCCCAGGUGUGCAGUAGAGGGCUUGAGAGUCUCCCAUAUGGGCCAGUAUGGAACCAGACCUGCACUCAUAUGGGCCAGUAUGGAGAGGAACCGGACCUGCACUCAUCUCAGCUCCACGGAUCUCUCCACAGAAGAGGGAGAGGGGUGGGGAGGGGGAGAGCGUUGCUUUGGUACACACUUGCCAAAGGCUCGCUGACUAUUAUGGGAUAGUGAUGGCUACAGCACUUCAUGAUAACAAAAUGGUUCCUCAUUAAGGAUGAAUUCAAGAAGUGUGGGAUGGAAUUUAAUUUGUUCAGAUGGUUUUUUGUUUGAUGUUGUGAGGCUGUAGCCUGGUGAGGGUGACCAGGAGAGUUGGAGAGUGUAAGAGUGUGAUGUUGUGAUGUUGUAAUCUGGUGAGGGUGACCAGGAGAGUGUAAGAGUGUGAUGUUGUAAUCUGGUGACCAGGAGAGUGUAAGAGUGUGAUGUUGUAGCCUGGCGAGGGUGACCAGGAGAGUGUAAGAGUGUGAUGUUGUGAUGUUGUAAUCUGGUGAGGGUGACCAGGAGAGUGUAAGAGUGUGAUGUUGUAGCCUGGCGAGGGUGACCAGGAGAGUGUAAGAGUGUGAUGUUGUGAUGUUGUAAUCUGGUGAGGGUGACCAGCAGAGUGUAAGAGUGUGAUGUUGUGAUGUUGUGAUCUGGUGACCAGGAGAGAGUAAGAGUGUAAGAGUGUGAUGUUGUGAGGUUGUGAGGGUGACCAGGAGAGUGUGAUGUUGUGAGGUUGACCAGGAGAGAGUAAGAGUCUCAGACUCAGACUCUACAGUAAGACAACCUCAGCGUUGGCAGCAUUCCAGCAGCAUGGUGUGGCUGGAGCUCUGCACACUUCCAAGGUUCUGCAGCUAAAACUCUGACGGAUCCGCUGUGGAGCGUUCUUUAGAUGAUACACUUCCAAGGUUCUGCAGCUAAAACUCUGACGGAUCCGCUGUGGAGCGUUCUUUAGAUGAUACCCAUAGAGAGAAUCGCAUCAGAAUCGAAUGCUUCUGCAGUAAGAACAUGAAAAGAUUCUAUUUUUUUUUCCUGUUCUCCAGAACACAAAGUGAACUUCUCUUUGUUCUUUUUUUUUAAUUCUCUAGAGAAAAGGCUUGUUAAAGUUUUAUAAUGGAUCUGCUAUUAAAACCGUGGAGGUGUGAUGUAAUGUUUCUCUUUUUUUUUUUUUUGCUUUCCUCUUUUCUCCUUUGCUGUCUUUUCAAUAGAGGCAAGAGGGACCGUUUGAGGCAAGUCUUUGUGUGAUCAAACUUGAUGGUAGAUGUCCAGGAUUAAUUCAUUUGCUUCAUUAUUCAUGAAAACCACCCCCAGAGUCCCUGUAAAAACCUACACGCUGGCACAUUUAAAUAACAGCAACCCAAAAAACAUGGCACACUUAAAACACUGCAGCAGAUCCCAGAACAGCUAAGAAGACUACCUCAGCUAAUAGUGAUAAUAAUAA